UUGUAAACACAUUCACAUCAAAUCAGAAUCAGCUGACUUCAAGGUAAUUUUACAGCCCUAGGGCCAUAAAAAUUUUACCGGCCUGGUCAGAAAACAAUCACUUUCGGCCUCCAUAUGAGGCACGAAAACCAGCUUAUUACAUCCCAGUGGGGCGAAAACACAUCUUUCCCCCUGGUGCAAACGAUAUUUUUUGUCAGACUUCCUCAAUAGCAGCUGUUUUCCAAGCAUUAAAUCAAGACGCUAAACAGCUGUUUGCAGAACAAGAAAAAAAUGUUAUUUUUAUUACAGCAUACUAUACUUUGAAGAGAUCAUAUGUUUAUUAAGCUGGAUUUUCGCACAAAGUAGGAGAACAUUACUUUUACAUUACACUUACUUGUAAUAUAAGUAAGAGAAGUAGGAGAACAUUACUCUUCUCUUCUCUGUGGUUUUCGUUUAUGCAUGAAUGCUGUCGGCGACAACGACAGGUCUCAGGACAUCAGCAGCCCCCGCUGAAUGACCCCAAUGCUUGCCUUCGUCGACUGUGGAAAUUUACGCAUAAACUAAAACUAAAAUGCACCUUUAGUUCCGAAAUAGGAACAUUCAAACAGUUGUCAUCAGUGCCCCAG